CUCCAUAAUAUUUGGUCUAAUGGUUAGGAUAAGUUCAUCUAAAUAUAUACCAAACCUCGUUACGCGCAGGUUAAAAAGUUCUUAAGUUAUGAAUACAUAUAGCUACACGAUGUUAACCGGUUUGUCCUUCAAAGUUCACUAAUGUCAAGUACAAACUGGGUAAUUACAGGGAGUUCGCCGAGCAUUUUUCUUCCAUUCUUUCAUCGGAUUCUCGUCAAUGUUUUGUAUCUCUCUGGUUAAUACACCAUUCUUCAAAUUUCGACCAUUCUUCUCUUCCUCACGGAGCCACACCCAUCUUGGUCUCGCCAAACACAGGGUCACGGUAGACAACACAAGCAAAACGACCAAGAAAUUCUUAGAAAAUCCCAUGACUUCCGACUCAAGACUUGAUAUUUUCCCGGUUUUUUUGUGUUGUUCAAUAUUGACAAUAUUGCUUACCUGCUAACACGAUAAAGUUUUGGAUGUUCCAUCUGACUUUAUAUACAGCGCAAAACACUUCAAUUACACCAGGUGUUCUCAUUUGCAUGCUGCGUAUGUUGUAGAGCGCAACGCAGUAUAAUUAAGGCGGUAUAACUGCUCUAUAUAAUGAUUCCACUUGCAUAUAAGUGAAAAAAGAACUAUCUAGCAUUGACCCUUCUAAUGUAAAGUAGUUUUAAAAGUUGCAUAAUUGCUUU